rnacentral:rRNA from 1 species
GCCAUAUGUCUCGACAUCCAUAGGCAUGAUAAUGGCAUACGACGUGCAGAUCUAAUAUCGUGGUUUUAGACCGUCGUAAUUCUACUAGGAUCGUUCGGGGCAUCAGUACCAACUGUCAGAAGGGAACGUGCUUGCAUCACCGAAGACUAGCUGAUGCGAGAGCAUUCACCAGGGAAGUCUGCAUUAUCAGUGACCGAAAGUUAUGCCUCGAGUACGAUCAGAUACAGUAGUAGUCUCAACUCACAAGGGUGCCGACUCGGGAUCGGGCGAUAUUAUCUUUCUGACUCGCUUGGCACCUCCCGAGAGAUCAAAGUUUAUGGGUUCUGGGGGGAGUAUGGUCGCACGGCUGAAAUUUAUAGAUAUUUCCGGAAGGGCGCCACCAGGAGUGGAGCAUGAGGCUUAAAUUGACUCAACACGGUGGAACUCACCAGGUCCAGACACAAUAAGGAUGCCAGAUGAGAGCUUAUUCUUGAUCUGGUGGUCGGUGGUGCAUGGCAGUUCUUAAGUUGUGGAGUGAUUUGUCUGCUUAAUUGCGAUAACGAACGAGACUCAAUCCUGAGAAAUAGCCCGGCUAGCUUUGGCUGGUACGAGGCUUGUUAGAGUAACUAUCGGCUCAAGCCGAUGGAAGGAGCAUGCUAUAACAGGUCUGAGAUGCCCUUAGAUGUUGUGGAGGUCACGCGACCUACCCAGACAGAGCCAACGAGUUCAUCACCUUGGCCGAAAGGCCCGGAAAAUCUCGAUCGGAUCUGGGGUCCGGCCGGCGAGCAUCGCAAUUAUUGCUCUUCAUCGGGAAAUUCCUAGUAGGCGGGAGUCUUCAGCUGAGCUGGAAUACCUCCCGGUCCUUGCCGAUACCCCCCCCCACCAAGGGGAACACUUUA